UGAAAAUUAAUUUUUUUUUACUAUUGAUUCUCCUAUUCAACAGAAAAACAAUACCCAGGAAAUGAAACAAGAAGGAGUCAACAGUAACUGCCUCAACCAAACCUCACAAAUACUGGGAUGGUGGCGUCGUUUCUCUCGACUUUUAGGAAAAUAAAACUAUUUUAAUUCCUGUCAUAUUUUAUAGCACCAAAAGAAAUAAUUUUUAUUAAAUAUAUAAAAUGUUAACUCUGUGACAUUUAAAAGAGCACUAAUAGUUAUUCUUUAACUACAGAAAGGUUUCUUAACUUAUUUUGGGGUCAGUCUGUAUUGUUUAAUGUGGGUUAUUUAAUGUGGGAAGUAUUGAUCCUCUAAUGUCAGGGGACACUUCUGUAACAUUGGUGACUGGCUUCAUGGCACUAAUUCUCAUCUGAAACUUUACAAGCCCUACUCUAGGGAGAAAACAAAUAAGUAUAGUAGAAAGAAAUUUAAAAAAGAAAAGUGUUGGAUUCAAUGACAGCAUCUAACCCUCUGUUUUAAAAACAGGCAUUUAUUUUACAUGUUAUGAUUCUUUUCCUGUUCUCAUACUAAAACUCUAUAGAAGAAGAAAAGCAAAGCAAAUGAGAAUGUACAAAUCAUGGAAAGUAUAACGAAGCAAUUUGAAAGAAGUUUCAAGCAAAGUGUUAUAAAAGUAUUCUAAGCCAAGUUUUAAAAAUUAUAGACCAGAGUAGGAUAUGCAAGUAGAUUCUGAAGAAGUACCUUUGUUACAGCUAUUAUAUAUAUAAUAAAUCUUAAAUUUUAUAUAAUGCAUUUUUAAUUUAUUUUGUG
rnacentral:lncRNA from 1 species